rnacentral:rRNA from 1 species
GAGUUUGAUCCUGGCUCAGGAUGAACGCUAGCGGCAGGCCUAAUACAUGCAAGGCGAGGGGUUCGCAAGGACACCGUCGUACGGGUGCGUAACACGUAUGCAACCUACCUAUCACAGGGGGAUAGCCUCUGGAAACAGGGAUUAAUACCGCAUAAAGCAGGGACACCGCAUGGUGAUAUUGCUAAAGAUUUAUCGGUGAUAGAUGGGCAUGCGUCUGAUUAGUUAGUUGGUGAGGUAAAGGCUCACCAAGACGAUGAUCAGUAGGGGGCGUCAGAGCGUGGUCCCCCACACUGGCACUGAGAUACGGGCCAGACUCCUACGGGAGGCAGCAGUAGGGAAUAUUGGGCAAUGGAUGCAAGUCUGACCCAGCCAUGCCGCGUGCAGGAAGAAGGUCCUCUGGAUUGUAAACUGCUUUUUUGGGGGAAGAAUAGAUGCCUUGCGAGGUGUUGUGACGGUACCCUAAGAAUAAGCCACGGCUAACUACGUGCCAGCAGCCGCGGUAAUACGUAGGUGGCAAGCGUUGUCCGGAUUUAUUGGGUUUAAAGGGUGCGUAGGUGGUCUGAUAAGUCAGUGGUGAAAAGCUGGUUGCUCAACACUU